GACGAACGCUGGCGGCGUGCUUAACACAUGCAAGUCGAACGAAGUGGCGAACGGGUGAGUAAUACGUGGGUAACCUGCCCUCCUAUUUGGGAUAAACCUUGGAAACGGGGUCUAAUACCGAAUAAAGGGGGAUGGGCUCGCGGCCUAUCAGCUUGUUGGGGGGGUGAUGGCCUACGAAGGCGGUGCGGGGUAGCUGGCCUGAGAGGGUGACCGGCCACAUUGGGACUGAGAUACGCCCCCGACACCUACGGGAGGCGGAAGUGGGGGAUAUUGGACAAUGCGCGAGAGCCUGAUGCAGGUACGUCGCGUGGGGGAUGAAGGCUUACGGUUUGUAAACCUCUUUCGCAAUCGAACGGGUAUGUGGAGAAGAAGCGCCGGCUAACUACGUGUCAGCCGCCGCGGUAAUAC
rnacentral:rRNA from 1 species